AAUACGAUGUUUGUGAUCUGAUUCAAAACUAUAAAAGCGUGUUUUGUCCUAUGUUUCCACCUGGAGUUAAAUGCGCUUGUCCUUUGAAAAAAGCAACCUACAAUUUGGAAAAUGCUCUUGUAGUACUUCCAGAUUAUGGAGAAGUAUUCAAAAUAAUAUUGAAGGGUAACUACAAGGGCACUAUAAAAUUCAUUGAUGGCAAUUCUGGUGCUGAAGUUGGAUGCAUUGCAGUUACGUUCAAUAUACAGCCAUCUUCUUGAAAAAAACUGAGAUUGCACUAAAAGGAGAAAAAAAAAAUAAUAAUUUAAAUAUUUAUAAUUUAAGUACUGUAUGAAAUACAUAACUGUAUUUGUUAUUCGUGCCAAAUACAGUUACAGUAUGACGCAUAUAUGAUCAGAAUAGUAUUGGUUUUUAUAUUGUCUUAUUAGAUCUUUUUAUAAAUAUACCGGGAAAGUUUCUUCAAAUAAAAAUAAAUUGCAAAAAUAUGAA